UCCAUGGUGAGAACACGACUUUGAAUUUUGUUCGCCGCUUCAUGCAAAUCCGCUAUAACAGCCCCGCUGCGCAUGCGCGCGGAAACUUUCCCGGCUUCCCGCGCGGCUAGCGUCGUUCAUUUCACGGAAGGCUCUUGAGGUGGACGCGUCUCUUCUCGGCGAGUGCAGGAUUUGUAGAGCCGACCUCAUCUUCUCUUUCCUAUCGAAGAGCCGGCCGCUUGCACGCGCGCUUAUCAUCGCAAUCGUUUUAGAAGAUAUGGAGGAGCAAACUGCUACCUGUUACAGAUUUUCCCGUGAAAUCAGGCGUUUGUAUGUUCACCUGGCGAAUGGAUGAAGCCAAAUCUUGACCGGAACAUGAGACGCAAUAAGAAAUAUAAACAUGUAUGGAGAAUGCGCAAGGAAGGAUUGAAAAAUACUUGUUUAUUGUCCUGAACAACGAGUAUGUCAAAGUGGCGUCUUUCCGAAUAAAAUUGCUAUCAUUUUGAAGCAAUAACGAUGCGUGUAUCGUUCGUACGUGAAUCGUACAGAGGCCUGAAGAUACACUAUCAAUGUGGCUUCGAUACUUGAAGAGAACGUAUCCUACAUGAAGGAAAAGAAGAUAGAAGAUGAAAGGUGCGGGUAGGAGGAAGAGAUAAUAAACAGGAUGAAAUAAAUAUUCCAUAGAAACAUGAUUCUUUUAUUGGAGAACCUUUACAGCUAAGGUAGCGUGCCGGGAUUUCUUUCCCCCCCGAGGAACACGAGAGUGCGUGCGAGCGGAGCGAGGUUUACCCGUGAAUGCACCUCGUCAGACUGCUGGUACAUUGUCAGGUGACGUUCCUGAUGAGGAACUUCUAUGCCAGUGGUUCAAACGGUACGUGAUCGGCCACCGUGGAGAAGGUGAAUCGCAACAAGUCGCGAACGUCGAUUGCCUCCCGACGGACCUGAUAAUCUCCGAUAGAGCAUAUCGGCGGUUUACGAGAUGUUUUAUCGUUCAAGACGCAGUCGUACCUCUGACAUUUUGUAAACGAUAGUGAAACGAUGGGCGAAAAGGAGAGAGAGAGAGAGGAAGAGGAGGGAAAGGCGAAGAGAGAUGGAAACUGGGAGAAAGAGGAGUCGCGUGUCCUUAGACUCCGUUUUGCGUCGAGACAGGUGGGUGAGGAGGAAGAGCUUGAGGCAGAAAGGCUGGACUUGUUUUACCGUCCGAAAUAGAGCGUGUUCUCGGCGCGAUUCGAUUCAGCGCGAUCCCCCACCGCGGGAAUUUUUACUGACCGAUAUGACCGGCUGCAGUCGGUGCUCGAGGUAGCUGCUGUAGCGCUGGUUGAACGCGAGGAAGAAG